UACGUAGGGUGCGAGCGUUGUCCGGAAUUACUGGGCGUAAAGAGCUCGUAGGUGGUUUGUCGCGUUGUUCGUGAAAACUCACAACUCAAUUGUGGGCGUGCGGGCGAUACGGGCAGACUGGAGUACUGCAGGGGAGACUGGAAUUCCUGGUGUAGCGGUGGAAUGCGCAGAUAUCAGGAGGAACACCGGUGGCGAAGGCGGCGACCUGGGUAGAUACUGACGCUGAGGUGCGAAAGCGUGGGGAGCAAACAGG
rnacentral:rRNA from 1 species